rnacentral:rRNA from 1 species
UACGGGGGGGGUAAGCGUUGUUCGGAAUUACUGGGCGUAAAGGGCUUGUAGGUGGCCAACUAAGUCAGCCGUGAAAUCCCUCGGCUUAACCGGGGAACUGCGUCUGAUACUGGAUGGCUUGAGUGUGGGAGAGGGAUGCGGAAUUCCAGGUGUAGCGGUGAAAUGCGUAGAUAUCUGGAGGAACACCGGUGGCGAAGGCGGCAUCCUGGACCAUUACUGACACUGAAAAGCGAAAGCCAGGGGAGCAAACGGG